AAGAAACAUCAACAUGAAUAAACAAAAGAUGAUAGUAGUAAAUUCACAAGUAAGAGAACUUUCACCGUUGUUUUUGAGGUAUAUAUAGUAAAUGUUUGAGUUUCUGUUAUAGAGGAUCCCAAAUAUGGGCAACUAUAAAGCAUACUCCUCGAAACAUUUAGAAGUAGAUAGUAUUAUUUGUUAUAAAUUUUUAGAAGUAGGUAUAAAUAUACCUGACUGAAAACUGGUGCUGAUAACGUGUUAAAGAAUUUACCGAUAGAAAAGUUUUGAUUAAUAAAAGGAGUAAAAGAGUGAAAGAAGAUGGGUGAAAUUGUUGUAGUGUUAUCAUUGUAUUCUUACUUCUAUGACAUUGUAUUUAUAGCCAUGAGUUACACUAAUAAUACAAUAAUUACUCACAUAGAGCCAUAUGAGUUCACAAGUGUUUGGAACUAUAUGAGCAUUCUGUAAUCAAAUCAAUAAUUGACAUUCACUUAUUAGACUUAUCUUCUAACAGAUAUAUUUUUCUUAAGUUUUUUUUUUAUUUUUUUUAGAUAUUAGAAUUACUUUACCCUCAAAUUAAUCUAUUUAUGAAAGAGAAAUAUAACCCACGUUAAUUUUCACUUUCACCUUACCGUCGGUCUUUGAACCGCCAAACCCACCGCCGCACCCACUGACCCACGCCUAUAGUCAUCGGCACACCGCCGCACCCACCGAAGCACCACCGCACUAACUAGGUACUUAAGCAACACCAAGGAAGCUAGAGAGUGAAAAUUUCAGAGGGAUCAAUUUGGGCUGAGAGGAUUGGUUUGGAGUUGAUAGAUGUAGAAGCAUUGAAGAAACUAAACAAUGGAAGAAGAAGCUUGCAAAGAAGUACCGUACUUUCCUUGCAUCUGAAGCAGUCAUUAAGCAGCAAAUUACCUGUUUGCUGGACCUGGGACCUGGUCAGUAGGCAAGUGUUUUUUAUUAGCAGUAAAAACAAGAUUAUUUGUAUAUUUCAUGUUUUAUAGUUGAAUUUUGGAGGUUUAAAGUUUGUUUAAGAUUAUUUGUAUAUUACAUUCUUAAAUUAUAAAUUUAUAAUUUUUUUUAUUCAA